AUUCGACACACUAUCAUUAACUGAAUCCAUAGGUUAAUGAGGCGAACCGGGGGAACUGAAACAUCUAAGUACCCCGAGGAAAAGAAAUCAACCGAGAUUCCCCCAGUAGCGGCGAGCGAACGGGGAGCAGCCCAGAGCCUGAAUCAGUGUGUGUGUUAGUGGAAGCGUCUGGAAAGGCGCGCGAUACAGGGUGACAGCCCCGUACACAAAAAUGCACAUACUGUGAGCUCGAUGAGUAGGGCGGGACACGUGGUAUCCUGUCUGAAUAUGGGGGGACCAUCCUCCAAGGCUAAAUACUCCUGACUGACCGAUAGUGAACCAGUACCGUGAGGGAAAGGCGAAAAGAACCCCGGCGAGGGGAGUGAAAAAGAACCUGAAACCGUGUACGUACAAGCAGUGGGAGCCUCUUUAUGGGGUGACUGCGUACCUUUUGUAUAAUGGGUCAGCGACUUAUAUUCUGUAGCAAGGUUAACCGAAUAGGGGAGCCGAAGGGAAACCGAGUCUUAACUGGGCGUUAAGUUGCAGGGUAUAGACCCGAAACCCGGUGAUCUAGCCAUGGGCAGGUUGAAGGUUGGGUAACACUAACUGGAGGACCGAACCGACUAAUGUUGAAAAAUUAGCGGAUGACUUGUGGCUGGGGGUGAAAGGCCAAUCAAACCGGGAGAUAGCUGGUUCUCCCCGAAAGCUAUUUAGGUAGCGCCUCGUGAAUUCAUCUCCGGGGGUAGAGCACUGUUUCGGCAAGGGGGUCAUCCCGACUUACCAACCCGAUGCAAACUGCGAAUACCGGAGAAUGUUAUCACGGGAGACACACGGCGGGUGCUAACGUCCGUCGUGAAGAGGGAAACAACCCAGACCGCCAGCUAAGGUCCCAAAGUCAUGGUUAAGUGGGAAACGAUGUGGGAAGGCCCAGACAGCCAGGAUGUUGGCUUAGAAGCAGCCAUCAUUUAAAGAAAGCGUAAUAGCUCACUGGUCGAGUCGGCCUGCGCGGAAGAUGUAACGGGGCUAAACCAUG
rnacentral:rRNA from 1 species